rnacentral:rRNA from 1 species
AGAACGAACGCUGGCGGCAUGCCUAACACAUGCAAGUCGAACGCUUCCGGGGCUUCGGUCGCGGAGGAGUGGCGCACGGGUGAGUAGCGCGUGGGAACCUGCCCUGUUGUGGGGGAUAACCGAGGGAAACUUCGGCUAAUACCGCAUACGCCCCGGGACUUGGUCUUCGGAUUAGGUCUGGGGGGAAAGAUUGAUCGCAGCAGGAGGGGCCCGCGUCGGAUUAGCUGGUUGGUGGGGUAACGGCUCACCAAGGCGAUGAUCCGUAGCUGGUCUGAGAGGAUGAUCAGCCACACUGGGACUGAGACACGGCCCAGACUCCUACGGGAGGCAGCAGUGGGGGAAUAUUGGACAAUGGGGGCAACCCUGAUCCAGCAAUGCCGCGUGAGUGAUGAAGGCCUUAGGGUUGUAAAGCUCUUUCGCCCGCGACGAUGAUGACGGUAGCGGGAGAGAAGCCCGGCUAACUUCGUGCCAGCAGCCGC